UACGUAGGGUGCGAGCGUUAAUCGGAAUUACUGGGCGUAAAGUGUGCGCAGGCGGCCGCGCAAGUCGAGUGUGAAAUCCCCGAGCUUAACUUGGGAAUUGCGCUCGAAACUACGUGGCUGGAGUGUGGCAGAGGAAGGUGGAAUUCCACGUGUAGCGGUGAAAUGCGUAGAUAUGUGGAGGAACACCGGUGGCGAAGGCGGCAUCCUGGACCAACACUGACGCUGAGGAGCGAAAGCCAGGGGAGCAAACGGG
rnacentral:rRNA from 1 species